UGAAGAUUAAUUUUGAUGCAGCAUAUGACGGGAGAAUGGUCAAUCGACAGUGGGGAUAGUGGCUAGAAACAGUGAAGGAAAUGUUCUGUUAUCGUGUUUAGAGAUCCAUCAAAGAGUUGCAUAACUUUCGCUGUUGAAGCACUCGCGUGCCUGAAAGCGACUCAGAUCGGUAUUGAAAUGCAAUGGGAAAAAACCAUCAUUGAAGUAGAUUCGUUAUCAAUAAUAAAAAAGUGUAAAGGGAAAAGCUCAGAUAAAUCUUUGGUAGGUGCUUAUAUCCAUGAUAUUCAUCAGUUACUAUUAAAAACUCGGCAAUGCCGAUUUGAAUAUAUCCCAAGAACAGAAAACAACUUAGCGUAUAUUUUAACAAAUGAAACGUUGAGGAACAAGAAGGAAUCCUACCUGAUAGGAAGCGUUCCAGAAUCUGCAGCGGAGCAAGAGGAAAGGGAUAAGGUGAGAGAACCAAAUUGAAGUUUCGAAGAAGAAAAUAAAAUGGGGGAGUUUGAAAAGGGAUAUGAAUGGAUUUGAUGGAAAACACCCCAUUGGGAAUAUGGAAGCGUCUUAAUGAAGAAAUCUCAGAUGAAGAGACAAGACGGCAACAGAGCAGUUUUUAGAUUGGCA
rnacentral:lncRNA from 1 species